rnacentral:rRNA from 1 species
CCCUUAGAUGUCCUGGGCCGCACGCGCGCUACACUGAUGCAUUCAACGAGUAUUUCCUUGGCCGAGAGGCCUGGGCAAUCUUUUAAACCUGCAUCGUGAUAGGGAUAGAUUAUUGCAAUUAUUAAUCUUGAACGAGGAAUUCCUAGUAAACGCAAAUCAUCAAUUUGCAUUGAUUACGUCCCUGCCCUUUGUACACACCGCCCGUCGCACCUACCGAUUGAAUGGUCCGGUGAAAUCUCGGGAUUGUGGCCAGUUCACUUUAUUGGGAGUUGGCUGCGAGAACUUGCUUAAACCUUAUCAUUGAGAGGAAGGUGAAGUCGUAACA